GAUGAACGCUGGCGGCGUGCCUAAUACAUGCAAGUCGAGCGAUGCGGGGACGGGUGAGUAACACGUGGAUAACCUCCUAUAAGACUGGGAUAACUUGGGGAAACCGGAGCUAAACCGGAUAAUUAUAGAUGGAUAUGCGGUGCAUUAGCGAGUUGUUAAGGUAACGGCUUACCAAGGCAACGAUGCAUAGCCGACCUGAGAGGGUGAGCGGCCACACUGGAACUGAGACACGGCCCAGACUCCUACGGGAGGUAGCAGUAGGGAAUCUUCCGCAAUGGACGAAAGCCUGACGGAGCAACGCCGCGUGAGUGAAGAAGGUCUUCGGAUCGUAAAACUCUGUUAUUAGAGAAGCGGUACCUAAUCAGAAAGCCACGGCUAACUACGUGCCAGCAGCCGCGGUAAUAC
rnacentral:rRNA from 1 species